rnacentral:rRNA from 1 species
UACGUAGGGUGCAAGCGUUGUCCGGAAUUAUUGGGCGUAAAGAGCUCGUAGGCGGUCUGUCGCGUCGGCUGUGAAAACUCGGGGCUCAACCCCGAGCCUGCAGUCGAUACGGGCAGACUAGAGUGCGGUAGGGGAGACUGGAAUUCCUGGUGUAGCGGUGAAAUGCGCAGAUAUCAGGAGGAACACCGGUGGCGAAGGCGGGUCUCUGGGCCGAUACUGACGCUGAGGAGCGAAAGCGUGGGGAGCAAACAGG